CACGUCGAGUUGAUUCACGAGUGCGAUCUCCUUUCUCUUUUAUCUUUCUUUCUUUUUUUUUUUUUUUUUUUCUCAAAUUUCGUCUCAAGCUUAUUCGCUUUGUUUUGUGUUCGAGUCCUUUGUUCAAGAAUAGGCCUUGCAGAUCCAGUUGCGCUUCGGCAGUGACGUCUAACCGCCUCUCAUUUUCACCAUCGCGAGCUUCUUUAAUUAAGCCACAGCCUUUCUCAUUGUGCAGUCACUGCAGUGUCGAGCACGCGCAAGCGCCCCAACACAUGUACAUGCGUCUACAUGUAUUGCACUUUACCGCCUCGAAGUAGAUACGUACACACGUAUAUAUGGAUGUGUGUGUGUGCGUGUAUACGAUACGAUUCCCCGGUUCGAAAGUCCGUUCGUAACUUGCUUUCAGCGAAAGAACAACACGAAAGAACCGCGAAUAGGAAGACGAGUUGCAUUUGUUUCGUUUCAAGUUUCGGAUUAAUUAAUUAAAGUUUCAUGGUUUAGACACGUUUGUUACCGAUACACAGUAAGGUUAAGAUUCUUUUCAGAAUGGCUUUAAUGUUUUUCUUCGUUCUUUGUUCGACUUCGUGGCGAGAACGCUUUCUAACCUCACUUUAUGAAGUUUUGGAUUAACGUUAACAUUAUUACUUGGAUAAAGAUCCACGUCGCUCCAACCAAUUAGAAACUAGCUAGAGAAACUUAUGGAACGUUGGUAACGCCGUGUCAUUCAGUCGAAAACCAUUGUGACGAUACCGAUUCGAAGUAUGUAAUUUCAACUACGCACUUGGAAAUUGCGAUAAGAGACAAUAAGAAAGAUGACUGACUAAUUGGAAUCACAGCCUCUUGGCAAUAAUUCAAUCUCGUUAAGCAAUGUCACGGCAAAAGGACAAGUUAACGCGUUGUACUACUCGCCACCACUAUCGCCAUCCUGCCACACAUCGGCUUUUAACUCGGAAAAGGGACAAAAGAUGUUUCUCCUUUUCGUUUAUUCUGCUCGCGCGACGGAGCACAGGUUAUAAAGAGUGAUUGGUAAUCCUGUAACGAAUUUUUAGUAUGCGAUACUACGUGAAAAACUGUUGCUGUUUUUGAGCGAAGAAACAUAGAAUUUUGUUCAUUUGGAUGCCAGCAGAUGGCACAUGAUGGCGUGUUUACUGCGCAAGCUUCGAUGCGAAACGACCUCUGUCAAUAUGGCUUCCUCCGAAAAGUUAGACCGCGCGAAGUGGCAACUUCUACAAGAAGCUUCUCUCCUCCUCCUUCCGCGGAUACAACUAAAGGCGAGACGAAAGGAAAGAUACGAAGUCUUUUUAACGUCGAAGUUACAAGAUUAAAUCACAAGUGUCGAAAGUUGAAUAAAUCGCAAUGUUGUUCAAUCGGUAAUCGUUCGAUUUCUUUAUAAUUUACCGCGCACUCCGAGAAUUCUUAAAUUCUACGUUGCAUCUCUCAAUUCGAUUAUGAAAUCACGAAUUUUCAUCUUCUUUGGAUAUUGUGCGCCGCAAUAAUUUGAUAUUGGGAUAAGUGAAGCAAUGGACGAAAACGAAGCGACGCGUAUCGCUGUCUAGAUUGCGCUGUAAUGCUAUAGUUCCUCGGUAACUUGUACGUAUAUACGCUGUUGCCAUUUCCACCGGAAACGACAUAACCAACAGUUCCAAAGGCAUUCGUGCCAAUGGAACGUUGGAAUUAUCCUCUCGUAACGCGUGUACUUCAAUCUUGACUCGCAUCCAUAGGCAAUGAACGGAAGCAACAGCUACGAAUUUCCCGUGCUAUGAUCCAACGAUUUAUCAAGCAAAUUGUAGCCUCUCGUUGUUUCGAAAAAAAUUAUCGAUAAUUUACUCAUUAAAAUACUCGAACCAUA
rnacentral:lncRNA from 1 species